UAAAAUGUAAGUACAUAGUAGUUAAGGCCACUUAAUAUAAAGUGGGUCCGAUUCACCAAACAUCUGGCUGAUUACUGGCAAUUUGCAUUAAAGACAGUGGACAAGUGAAGAGAGAGGAGGGGACGGUAUCAGAAAGGACCUUGAGCUGCGACUGUCUUGGAUCACCCAAAGCACAACUACACUACAUGUCCAAGCACUGAACAAGGCUUUUCUCCUUUACAUAUUAAAUGUAUUUAAUUUAA